rnacentral:rRNA from 1 species
AAACGACUCUCGGCCACGGAUAUCUCGGCUCUCGGAUCCAUGAAAAACGUAACGAAAUGGCAUACUUGGUGUGAAUUGGAAAAUCCCGUGAACCCUCCAAUCCUUUAAAGCCAGUUGCGCCCCAAGCCGUUUAGGCCAAGGCACGCCUGGCUGGGUGUCACGCC